UUGACCUCGGAUCAGGUAGGGAUACCCGCUGAACUUAAGCAUAUCU
rnacentral:rRNA from 5 species